rnacentral:SRP_RNA from 1 species
UAAACCCCGCCAGGCCCGGAAGGGAGCAACGGUAGUAGCUGACUCAUGUGCCGUGGUGUGGCUGGC